rnacentral:rRNA from 1 species
CCUACGGGAGGCAGCAGUGGGGAAUAUUGGACAAUGGGCGAAAGCCUGAUCCAGCCAUGCCGCGUGUGUGAAGAAGGUCUUCGGAUUGUAAAGCACUUUAAGUUGGGAGGAAGGGUUGUAGCUUAAUACGCUGCAACUUUGACGUUACCAACAGAAUAAGCACCGGCUAACUCUGUGCCAGCAGCCGCGGUAAUACAGAGGGUGCAAGCGUUAAUCGGAAUUACUGGGCGUAAAGCGCGCGUAGGCGGCUUGAUAAGAUGGGUGUGAAAUCCCCGGGCUUAACCUGGGAACUGCAUCCAUAACUGUCUGGCUAGAGUACAGUAGAGGGUGGUGGAAUUUCCUGUGUAGCGGUGAAAUGCGUAGAUAUAGGAAGGAACAACCAGUGGCGAAGGCGACCACCUGGACUGAUACUGACGCUGAGGUGCGAAAAGCGUGGGGAGCAAACCAGGAUUAGAUAACCCUGGUAGUCCACGCCGUAAAYCGAUGUCAACUAGCCGUUGGAAUCCUUGAGAUUUUAGUGGCGCAGCUAACGCACUG